rnacentral:rRNA from 1 species
UUGAUCCUGGCUCAGAAUCAACGCUGGCGGCGCGCUUAACACAUGCAAGUCGCACGAGAAAGUGGAGCAAUCCAUGAGUACAGUGGCGUACGGGUGAGUUACACGUGGAUCAUCUACCUUUUAGUGGGGAAUACCCCCGGGAAACUGGGUAUAAUACCGCAUAAGCUCGUAAGAGGAAAGCAGCAAUGCGCUGAAAGAGUAGUCCGCGGCUGAUUAGCUAGUUGGUGAGGUAAUGGCUCACCAAGGCGAUGAUCGGUAGCCGGCCUGAGAGGGCACACGGCCACACUGGCACUGAAACAUGGGCCAGACUCCUACGGGAGGCAGCAGUGGGGAAUCUUGCACAAUGGAGUAAACUCUGAUGCAGCGACGCCGCGUGAGCGAUGAAGCCCUUCGGGGUGUUAAGCUCUUUCGACGGGAACGAUAAUGACGGUACCCGAAGAAGAAGCUGCUGCUAACUACGUGCCAGCAGCCGCGGUAAUU